rnacentral:rRNA from 1 species
CUACGGGCGGCUGCGGUGAGGAAUAUUGCACAAUGGGGGGAACCCUGAUGCAGCAACGCCGCGUGGAGGAUGACGCAUUUCGGUGUGUAAACUCCUUUUAUAUGUCAAGAAAAUGACGGUAGCAUAUGAAUAAGCACCGGCUAACUCCGUGCCAGCAGCCGCGGUAAUACAGGAGGGUGCAAGCGUUACUCGGAAUCACUGGGCGUAAAGGACGCGUAGGCGGGUUGGAAAGUCAGGUGUGAAAUCCUACAGCUUAACUGUAGAACUGCACUUGAAACUUCUAAUCUAGAGUAUGGGAGGGGGAGAUGGAAUUAGUGGUGUAGGGGUAAAAUCCGUAGAUAUCACUAGGAAUACCUAAAGCGAAGGCGAUCUCCUGGAACAUUACUGACGCUAAGGCGUGAAAGCGUGGGGAGCAAACAGGAUUAGAUACCCCGGUAGUC